CUAGGUUUUAGAGCACUGUCAUGCACAUCUUUGAUGCAUACAGUAUUGUGUCCUGUUCCUGUUACAUUACCAUCUGGUACACGUGUAGUUCUCUGAAAUAUCCCCAUCAGUCGCACUCAUCUGUCCAUUUUUCUCCUCUCCGGGGGGUUUCUAGGACUUGAAAGAGGAAUGUGUGAAGCUGCGGACCCGUGUGUUUGACUUGGAGCAGCAAAACCGCAUAUUGAGUGUUCUGUUUCAACAACGUGUCAAAAUGUCCACGAAUCCUGUCUCCCAGGAUGUCCAAAGAAACGGAAAAGCAGGUAUUCCUGCAGGAAGGUGGCCCAGCCUGCUGAGUCUAACAUGCCCACGCAGCAGUGGAAGCGGCAGUGGCAGUGAACUGUCACUGUCCAGUGCGUGUAGUGAGUACUCCAGUGGAUCCCACACUUGGGCAGAGGGACGUGGAUUCUCCAAACAGUGUGCCGCCAGCCGAGACAAAAGGAUGAGUACGGGUUCAGUAUCAAGCAAUCACUCUGCAUCCAUCGAGCAGACAGACCUGGGAUGGAAGGAAGGCCACAUUCUAAAAGGCCUGAAGCGUCUCCAAAUGUGCAGCUCCAAAGAGGCAUCCUCACUUGCAUCUGUGCCACACUGCAAAGAUUGCAUGACCUCCAAUGAGGGCAUAUACUCGUUUGGUUUCAAGUGUGGCCAACAAGGGAGUACAGCCAAGCAAGUAACCCCUACAAGUAAACCUUUCAAGGCCGGAGCGGGGACUGCUGCCCUAUACUCUGAUGAUGCAGAUGAUGAUUCAACUAAAUUACAAAGUAGGGAGUCCAAUGACCAACCAACGAAAGAGUUUGUUUGCUUGGAGAAACAUGAUGUCACAAAGGAUAUUGAAAACAAUUUUCAAGAAGACCCUGUAAAACUUGAAGGGAAUUCUAGUCUUUUUCCCUCACCUGUCAUAGACAACUUCUUAUUUUUGCAGGACCCCACAGUAAAACCUGGUGUAAGCCCACCAAAUAGCAAUAUGCAUCUAGAAGAAAAACACAAAGGCUCUCUAGAAAAACAGAAGCCUUCAGGCAUGAAGUUAAAUGACAGAAACAAUAACCAAGAAAGGUCUACUGACCGUAAAUCCAGACUUGACCAUGUCAAAAGACAGCAGGG
rnacentral:lncRNA from 1 species